UGGGGAAUUUUGGACAAUGGGGGAAACCCUGAUCCAGCCAUCCCGCGUGUGCGAUGAAGGCCUUCGGGUUGUAAAGCACUUUUGGCAGGAAAGAAACGUCGCGGGUUAAUACCCCGCGGAACUGACGGUACCUGCAGAAUAAGCACCGGCUAACUACGUGCCAGCAGCCGCGGUAAUACGUAGGGUGCAAGCGUUAAUCGGAAUUACUGGGCGUAAAGCGUGCGCAGGCGGUUCGGAAAGAAAGAUGUGAAAUCCCAGAGCUUAACUUUGGAACUGCAUUUUUAACUACCGGGCUAGAGUGUGUCAGAGGGAGGUGGAAUUCCGCGUGUAGCAGUGAAAUGCGUAGAUAUGCGGAGGAACACCGAUGGCGAAGGCAGCCUCCUGGGAUAACACUGACGCUCAUGCACGAAAGCGUGGGGAGCAAACAGGAUUAGAUACCCUGGUGGUCCACGCCCUAAACGAUGUCAACUAGCUGUUGGGGUCUUCGGACCUUGGUAGCGCAGCUAACGCGUGAAGUUGACCGCCUGGGGAGUACGGUCGCAAGAUU
rnacentral:rRNA from 1 species